rfam:Alcaligenes sp. EGD-AK7 Contig1, whole genome shotgun sequence.
GGGCAGGAUGUGUGAAGUAGGCCCACCCCCAAGCGGGUUGUCCUUCUUCACUUGCCCUUAUUCGCACCUGCGGUGCUCAACGGGAAUCCUGCCCUGCGGGGCC